GCGAAUUUUGAUUACUUGGAGCUACAAAUGCAUCUGACACACACAAAUAGGAUCCAGGAUUUCUGCAUACAUCUAAACUGAAGUUUGCCAAAGACCAACUUGGUAAAGGGGUUUGCAUACGUGACGAACAGUGUACAAAGUGCACAGAUAAGAAGCACAUCAGUAUGCACCACUGAUUCAACACCAGUGCUGACACUUUCAGUCUCCACGCUCCAGCCGCCAUUCUGUCCCAACCUUUCACAGCUGAGCACACCCAAAAAAGCAAUGAAUGGAAAUCCCAUCGCAACUUUUUAAAGCGAUUAUUAACUUCUUACAGAUUCAGACUAAAGAAAUGUGGAUAAUGCAGAGAGAAAGAAACAACUUCCUGUGAUGCACACAUACAUCUUAUGUAACUCGAGAUCUGUGCUUAACCACGAUGGGACCACACUUUAAUGAAUCACCUUGAGUCCAGAAGUCCAUCCUGGGGCCGUGCUGGGCUGAGAGACCACAAUGUACAGCUGAAAGACCACCAUGCAGGGCCAAGAAACUGCCAUGCUGGGCCACUGAGAGAUCGCCACGCCAGGCCAAGAGGCUGCCAUGCUGGGUGGAGAGUCCGUCACCACGGCCAAAGGUCUGCCAUGCCAUUCCAGAAGGCUGUUGCACCAGGACUGUAGGGUUGCCACACCAGACUGGGAGGCCGCAUUGCUACACUAUUAGACUGCCACACCAAGCUGGGCCACCAUACGAGGCUGGGAGGCCACUACGUCAGGCCAGGAGGCUAUCACACCAAUGCCUAUCCAAACACACUAUACUUGACUGACCCUCUUGUCACAGCCAAUUUUUAAUACACAUUUUUUCAGUCUGUCAGAAUUGCAGUGCAGAGGACAUCAUUCAUUCUUUUCCUGCACAAUAAGCAGAUUAACUUCAGGUUGAAUCACACAAUAAAACUCCAGGCUAAGGCAGUAAACAGGUAAACUCCCAGUUCAAUGCUGUAAGACUAAUCCUGCAGCCUGUGAUCCAUUUGAGUGUAAUUCAAAACUGGAAAUGUAGAAUUCAUGAAAUCAUCUCUAACAGCACUGCAGUAAGGUUCUCCUUGAAAAAACAAUGAUAUAAUUACACCAUACUUGUAUUAUUUUGUUAACAUGGUGACACAUAUAAUGCUUGUUUAUUUAACCAGUGUGUUUUGUGUCAUAAUAUUUGGCAUCAAAAUCAUUUUGGCAGAUGUUAUUUUCAAAUAAGAGACAGUUUUUGAAAGCAGAAGGUGUCUCCGGGUAAUCAGUUGCAUGAAGAAACAAAAAUGUUUUGGCUUUUUAAUUCUAGUUUUCACUCCUGUUCUGUAAUUAAAGAAUUACAAAUGAAAGAAAAGAGUUUGCUGCGUGAUGGAUACCUACUUUCUGGAAAAUUGGCAGAUGAGUUACUGAAGCAGUCCAAAUUAAUUUUACUGAUGAUGGACUUAAACUGUAAGUUUUCAGUUAAUUCACUUUAGAGGUAUGUUGUAUCCUAAUGCAUGCUUUUAUCUGUGUCUUAAAUUAAAUUAUAAGAAUAAGCGA